GAGCCUGAAGAGGAACAAACUCAAAAACAAAAACAACCAAGUGGGCAGAGAGGGAGGAGGAAAUAUGAUGAACCAAAGGAAAAAUGUUUAUCAAGAUGAAUCAAUAGUGCUAAAUGUUCUCAGAGAAGAAAGAAGAUAAAGUGGAAAUGUGUUCACUGGAUUUAGAAAUAAAAUCUUUGCCCUUAAUGAUCUAGAUGACCUGGCCUUUGCUGUCCUUUUAGGAAUGGAAGGUAAAAUGCAUUAAAGCAGCUAUUAAUAAAGGUCUACUGUGCUAAGUAGGACUCCUCUUAGAGAGGAACAGGAAACAGGGGACAGACUCUUGGAGGACUCUUACAGGAACAGUAUUUGGAGGUCAAAGAAAAGAGCAAAGCAUUACAGGCUGUAACCUGGACAGACAUAACCAGAGGCAAAGUUAAGAAAACAAAAGACACAGUCAGGAAUGGUCAGUUAAUUCAAGUAGUUUGGACCGCAUUGCAUGAAGGGGCAUUCUGACCAGUAAAAUUUAAAUCACAGGUUGGAAUUAUGUUAUAAAGUUUCAAUCAUGUUACAUGUAAACAUUCACACUAUACUAAGGUAAAUCUAAAUGUUGGAUAAAACAGGAAGACUGUAUGAAAAAAUGCAUACAAUAUUUCUGAGAACUGGUUACAACUAUGGGUGCCUUUACUUCUUUCUAAUUAAUUUUCCUAGUUUUUAUUAUAGAAAAGUACACUUAUUAUUUAAAUACCAAAUACUAGUAUCUUUUUACAGAAAGUGAACUGGUGUAGAGAAAAAUCAAGUCAUGAAGCUAUUUUUUUUUUGGUACCAGGGAUGGAACUCAGGACCUUCUGCUUGCAAGACAGGUGCCGGAACCACUGAGCUAAAUCCCUGGCCCCCAUGAAGCCAUUCUUGAGACCUAACGGCUAACAGGUUUCCGGGUUUUUUCACAUCCCCUGUGGUGGUCAACCUUGAUUGUCAAUUUGACUGGAUGGAGAGAUGCCUGGGAACUAAGUAAGCACACUCCGGGUGUGACUAUCAGGGUGUUUCCAGAGAUGACUGGGAUGAGGCCCUGCAAACUCAGGGGAAGACCAGCCCUGAAUGUGGACAGCUCCACCCAAUAGGCGAGGAGCCAAAAGUGGAAGGAGGAAGCCAGCCAGCAAGUGCAAACUUGAUUCUCCUCAAGUAUGUGCCCGGCUGCUGCAACUGCCUGUGGACAUCAGACUCCCGCUUCCUCCGUUUUCUGACACGGACUCUCACCAGAGACUCUACCGAGUUUCAGACCUUCAGCUCAGACUGGGGCUGCAUCACUGGUCCUCCUCGUUCUGAGGCUCCCAGCUUCUCGGUCUGAACAGCUUCCGGUUCCUCUAGCCAUGCAGUGCGCAGAUGGCCACUGUGGGACUAUCCAGCCUCUGAUUCUUACCCACAGGCUUGCAAAGAUGAGAGGGCAGAGUGAACUGUGGGGAUUUCCAUACUUCAGGCAACUGAGAAGUGAUGGCCCUGUUCUUACCUCUAGCAUGCUGAAGAGAAAGGAGACUUUUCAGAAAAAUCUCCUUCACAAAGGUGGGAAACCCACACCAACCAUUCUGGAAAUAAUCAGCCUCCAUCUGAGGGGGCUACAGCACUACCUCCAUGCUUUCAUCACGACAACAUCACAAGGAAAGGCAGUCUGCCUGCAGCCUGAGGGGAACAGGCAACUCACUUUAAAAUAAACAGGACAGAUCAAUAAAUCCAGUAUAACAUCAAGUCCCAGCUGUUGCUCAGGAAAUAUACCCUGACUAUCCAAGGGAAAAACAACUGCACACAGCUCACUCAACUGGGCUGAGGCAGGGGUUGGUGACAGGCGAGCCCUACUGAUGAGCGGCAGCAGGAAGGACUGAAGUCGCUCCCAAGGGAGGGUGGUAAGGAGGCUGCAAUCUGACAGUCAUCAGCUCAGGCGUAGAGGGGUGCGCAUGACUUUGCAGAGAGUGCCCAUGUGUUGCAAGCCUCUAAAACACACUUAAUUUGCACUUUGACCUUACAGAUGUUAACCUAGUAUAACAGACAGGAAAUCACAUUUCCAUACUGGGAAGAAUUGAAUCAAUCACAUCAAUGUUGAAAGUUUAACAAAAAAAAAGUUUGCUAUAUGAAUCUUAUGUUUUCAUCUUGUAAAAAAACAAAAUGAAAAUGCAAAAUAAAUUAUGUAAAAAUUAAUCAUGGAAAAAUUCUUCAAUCUAGACCUCUAAGAUUUGGGUCCUUUACCCUAUGUAAUGUAUGCCUCAAUGAUGGAAAAAAAGAAAACCAUGAAUAUGGAAAAAAGCUCCUAAUUUUCAAUAUUAUUUUAAGAGUAUGAAAUAUUUUUAUUACUCUCUAGUUUUUAUGUUUUCCCCUUUACAGUGUAACAUGCUCCCUUAUAUAAUAUGACAAACUUAUGUUUCUUCUACAACCAAAUCUGACUCUAACAAAACCAAACCAAUACGUUAAACUGCUCUAGUACAGGCAGACAGCCUUCUCCU